UACGGAGGAUGCGAGCGUUAUCCGGAUUUAUUGGGUUUAAAGGGUGCGUAGGCGGACGCUUAAGUCAGCGGUAAAAUUGCGGGGCUCAACCUCGUCGAGCCGUUGAAACUGGGUGCCUUGAGUGGGCGAGAAGUACGCGGAAUGCGUGGUGUAGCGGUGAAAUGCAUAGAUAUCACGCAGAACUCCGAUUGCGAAGGCAGCGUACCGGCGCCCAACUGACGCUGAAGCACGAAGGCGUGGGGAGCGAACAGG
rnacentral:rRNA from 1 species